GAAGCUUUUCAUGAUAUGGUGGCUGGAAAGGAUACACAGCAUGGUGUUGCUGCCUGUCAAGGGCUUCUUGGCUAUAUCACAAGCAUAAUGGAGAAACACUUGGAAAAGCCCCAAGAGGUGGCGGAUGCUAAAAGGAACAAUGGCAGCAUAGAGGAGAUAGAGGCCUCAUGUCCACCCACAAGGGACUAUGGGGCACAAGUAAAGAGCAACAAGAAGAACCAAGAAGUCCUGGAGGGCAGAGCCCAAGAGUCGGAGCACAGCCCACGCACAGCGCCAGAACAAGGAAGAAGUUAACGCUUGGCAAAGAGACCACAUGGGCUGUCUUCCCCAGCACAGGCAGCAGAGUAGACUGGUCUCUAGAGAGAUUACACCGAUGGAUUCUUGGAUGAAGACUCUUCCAGCCAUUGUUCACUCCAGUUACCUAAUCGCAUUAGACCAAGCCUGCCAGUUGCCUUAGCUGAAGUAGCCAGUUACCUCCUUACUGACUGUAGCAUUGCGGACGGACGAGCAGUACAUUAUGUUGAUUCAGCACUUACUUCGACUUUCAGAGAUAUGGAUUUGAUGCUUUACAGUUGUAUACUCUCAGUUCUCUUGAGUGACCAUUAGGUAGUAAAAUCCUUUCCAGCCCUUCAUGGGGGCUACUGCUAAUUUGUUCUCUAUACGUUCUCUGUUUACCCGACAGACAGUAAUGCUCUAUGGUUCCUUUACAGCCCAUUUACCUUUGGUUUCUUUUUCUUUCUGCCAGAACUUCCAGCACUGAGUGAACUGGAUUGGUGUGCACGGCUUGCUCCUUCCUGAGGGACCAGGGAUAUUACUCUCAGCACUAGAUGGCCUCUCCAAGCUUAUCUUGGAGAUCUUUUUAAAAACAGCUGUGGGAAUUCCUUUCUUUUUAUAGUUUGCUUUUGUUCUUCUUCUUUUUUUUAAACCAGGAAAGAGUACUGAGUUGUGUGUGUGUGUGUGUGUGUGUGUGUGUGUAAUGUACCUAUAUGCAAGAAGAGGCCAAGUGGAGACAUCAGGUGUCCUGAUCUAUUAUUCUCUGUGCAUGUUAAGCAAGCAAUAUACUAAUGACUAUAUUAAAAUAAAACUUUAUUUAUUUAUUUAUUCA